CCACCAUCUUCUGAAAACCUCAAAUUUUUGAGGAAUUUCAAAAUACAAUAGAUGCCCACAUACAAAAAUAAUCAAGGUAACAUGAAGAAUCAACAGUUAAAGAUGCAAAGAAGACUGAUGGGAAAAUCAAAAUUCGAACUUUCUAACAAGAAAAGGUAAGUGAAGGAAUUUCAACAAAACAACAGAAACAAAUAAAAACAUACAUUUCCAGAACACGGAGAACNCCCGUCACCGUCGUUGACAGAUUGUUAUAUAUUCAAUUGCUCACUGAACUUUAGCAAUGAAAGAUGCUUUAAAUUUUUAGUAAUCAAAAUUUGACCACCUCAAAGUUUAAUGACACAAUCGAAAAUACUUUUCAAAGUUCAGUGAGCAAUCGGAUAGGUGACAAUUUAUUAAUUUCACCAGGCAGCACUAUUUCCAGAUUUCUCACUUCACAAUUAACAAUUCACCAAGACUGUUAAGAUUUAAGCAAUGCUAAAAAAAUAUCGAAGUCCAGCCCCAUUUUUUAGACUUGAACGUAAAACAGUAAAUGAAAAAUUAAAAACACGCCACAGCCAGAGAUACUAUAAAUCCUAAAUUAAUAUAAAAAAAAAAGAGCAAAAUAGACCACCAUCUUCUGAAAACCUCAAAUUUUGGAGGAAUUUCAAAACACAAUAGAUGCCCACAUACAAAAAUAAUCAAGGUAACAUGAAGAAUCAACAGUUAAAGAUGCAAAGAAGACUGAUGGGAAAAUCAAAAUUCGAACUUUCUAACAAGAAAAGGUAAGUGAAGGAAUUUCAACAAAACAAUAGAAACAAAUAAAAACAUACAUUUCCAGAACACGGAGAACUGAAGUGGAAGUUCAAAAUAAAGCUCAAUAAAAGAUUAAAAAAGUCCAUCCCUUUUUUAUACCAGGAUGGAAAUUUAGAAUCACCGGGUGCCGAAAAAUCGUCGACGUUUGCUUGUGCUGUUGCCGUAACCCAAUAAGUGCGUUUACGGUCUAGCUGUCUAGGGCUUGGGCAAACAGGGACUGUAAAAUAGCAAGGGAGGAAGAGGUAGAGACAGUGCCGACGAGCUGGGACUGGAAAGAGUAGGUAGCGCUGUUGAGGCGAAGGUAAUGGAAUGGGUAAUGGGUUGAAUUGGG
rnacentral:lncRNA from 1 species